UCCAAGUUGGCAUUUUUCAAGCGCCUGAAAUGUUAAACAACUAUGUUUUCAGGUACAACUUCAUGCAUCAUCCCAGCUAGAUUCUCAAGUCUCUGAAGCUGAUUGUCCCAGCAUCUGGCCAGUUAUCAGGAGGUCUGCAAUCUUCAAUUACUAGAGGUAGUGUCACCAGUAGUACCAAGGAGAAAACAAAGACAAAAUGGGAUAGCAAAUUUAAUCUGAAGGAAAGCCACUCCAUUGAUGAUAUUACAU